rnacentral:tRNA from 1 species
GCAAGCGUCGUCUAGUGGCAGGACACCAGGAGCUCGAAAGGGCGUACCGGUUCUCGAACCUCGCCCGGCGCCUCGGCGUCGGGCCGAUGCGAAUCGUUAUCGUAAACUUGGCUGUGCCGGUUCGAUUCCGGCCGCUUGCACCA